GAUGAACGCUGGCGGCGUGCCUAAUACAUGCAAGUCGAGCGAACAGACGAGGAGCUUGCUCCUUUGACGUUAGCGGCGGACGGGUGAGUAACACGUAGGUAACCUACCUAUAAGACUGGGAUAACUUCGGGAAACCGGAGCUAAUACCGGAUAAUAUUUCGAACCGCAUGGUUCGAUAGUGAAAGAUGGCUUUGCUAUCACUUAUAGAUGGACCUGCGCCGUAUUAGCUAGUUGGUAAGGUAACGGCUUACCAAGGCAACGAUACGUAGCCGACCUGAGAGGGUGAUCGGCCACACUGGGACUGAGACACGGUCCAGACUCCUACGGGAGGCAGCAGUAGGGAAUCUUCCGCAAAGGGCGAAAGCCUGACGGAGCAACGCCGCGUGAGUGAUGAAGGUCUUCGGAUCGUAAAACUCUGUUAUUAGGGAAGAACAAACGUGUAAGUAACUGUGCACGUCUUGACGGUACCUAAUCAGAAAGCCACGGCUAACUACGUG
rnacentral:rRNA from 1 species